rnacentral:lncRNA from 1 species
UUGGCUGGUAAGUUCCAUGAGGGCAGGAACUGCUGUAUCCCCAGGCCCAAGUGUGCAGUAGCCACUUCACCAACAUUUCCCCUCUAAAUUAGUUCCAUUUCCAACUCUGGCAAGCUUCCCCCAUCAUGUGAGGAAAACCCAUUUUCAGCCAGAAAUACAGGAGCGAACCCAUGAAAAUAGGGUGGGGAAGGCAAACAGAGAAUGAAAGAACUUAGUGUCAUCUUCAGCCCCUGUGUCCAGUCACCCCUGAGGCCAGCGCCACUCCUGGGCUUCCUGGUCGUGUGAGUUAAUCAAGUCUCUUCUUUCUUCACACUAGUCUGAGUGUGUUUUCGGUCAGCUGUGACUGAAAGGAUCCUAGCAGAGAUGAAGCUUCCGCUGCUCAAAAGGCCUAUCAGCAUCCCCUUGGACACUCCACAUCCCAUGAACCACAUCCACAAGCGACGGUCUUUGGUGUGCCACUUCCUGUUGAAGCUGCCUGUCUACCAGAAUUAGCCUUUCCAUAGGUAAGGCCCUGUCGGGGAAGGUGACGGGGAGCUGUCCAACCAAGACUCCUUAGGAGUCAUUCUCUCUAAUCGACAGCAACGAAAACAAAGGUGAUAUUGCCUCAUCAUCUUUCUUAAAGGUAGGUG